rnacentral:rRNA from 1 species
GACGAAGGAUCCAAGCGUUAUCCGGAUUUAUUGGGUUUAAAGGGUGCGUAGGCGGAUUGAUAAGUCAGUGGUGAAAGCCUGCAGCUUAACUGCAGAACUGCCAUUGAUACUGUCAAUCUUGAAUAUGGUUGAUGUGGGCGGAAUAUGACAUGUAGCGGUGAAAUGCUUAGAUAUGUCAUAGAACACCGAUUGCGAAGGCAGCUCACAAAGCCAUUAUUGACGCUGAGGCACGAAAGCGUGGGGAGCAAACAGG